rnacentral:rRNA from 1 species
UACGUAGGGUGCAAGCGUUUAUCCGGAAUUAUUGGGCGUAAAGAGCUCGUAGGCGGUUUGUCGCGUCUGCUGUGAAAACCGGAGGCUCAACCUCCGGCCUGCAGUGGGUACGGGCAAACUAGAGUGCGGUAGGGGGAGAUUGGAAUUCCUGGUGUAGCGGUGGAAUGCGCAGAUAUCAGGAGGAACACCGAUGGCGAAGGCAGAUCUCUGGGCCGUAACUGACGCUGAGGAGCGAAAGCGUGGGGAGCGAACAGG